GAUGAACGCUAGCUACAGGCUUAACACAUGCAAGUCGAGGGGAAACGAUAUUGGAAGCUUGCUUCCGAUAGGCGUCGACCGGCGCACGGGUGAGUAACGCGUAUCCAACCUGCCCAUCACUUGGGGAUAACCUUGCGAAAGUAAGACUAAUACCCAAUGAUAUCCGUCGAAAACAUCUGAAGUGGAUUAAAGAUUCAUCGGUGAUGGAUGGGGAUGCGUCUGAUUAGCUUGUUGGCGGGGUAACGGCCCACCAAGGCGACGAUCAGUAGGGGUUCUGAGAGGAAGGUCCCCCACAUUGGAACUGAGACACGGUCCGAACUCCUACGGGAGGCAGCAGUGAGGAAUAUUGGUCAAUGGACGAGAGUCUGAACCAGCCAAGUAGCGUGCAGGAUGACGGCCCUAUGGGUUGUAAACUGCUUUUAUAAGGGAAUAAAGUGAGUCUCGUGAGACUUUUUGCAUGUACCUUAUGAAUAAGGACCGGCUAAUUCCGUGCCAGCCGCCGCAGUAA
rnacentral:rRNA from 1 species